UACGUAGGCAGCAAGCGUUGUUCGGAAUUACUGGGCGUAAAGAGUGUGUAGGCGGUGCUCCAAGUCUGGUGUGAAAUCUCCCGGCUUAACUGGGAGGGUGCAUUAGAAACUGGAAUGCUAGAGGAUGGGAGAGGUAAGCGGAAUUCCUGGUGUAGCGGUGAAAUGCGUAGAUAUCAGGAGGAACACCUGUGGUGUAGACGGCUUUCUGGACGGUAACUGACGCUGAGACGCGAAAGCGUGGGGAGCAAACAGG
rnacentral:rRNA from 1 species